GAAAAUAGCGGUGGACAUUUGAUAUACUAGAUGACCCGUUGCGCCGAUCGCGCAAAAAGCAUUGGCCAACCGAUUCUUGAAACCAUGUGUAUGUGAUAGCGGUAUCAUGAUAAAUGAAGAGGAAAAUAAUGACAUUAUUUAGCAUACAUAGGUUUCAUAAAGCAAGGCAUAGCAGGAUCACAACACAAGCAAAUAGGAAUUUGGCGUUUAUACAUAUUGUUCUAAGAGAACUCAAUACUGACACAGUGUUGAAGUCUCUCAUGAGCAUAAGCAAAUGGAAACAUGUGCUGACAUAUAACGUUAUAAGACAACCCAUUGUUGAUACAUAGUAGUUUAAGAAGUCUACAAUAGAUUAUUUACAAUGAGCAAAGUAUAUAGUAAGAGAUGCAGCAUAUAGAUUGUUGGAGUUAUAAAGCAAUGAUCAUCAGGCAGAGUCAUCAUUGCAUGCGCCAUCGGUAUUGAAAAGCGGGUUGUCAUUGCCUAAAGAAGAGAUUUCUUUGAUAUCACCGUCAAGGCUCUAAUAACACUUGUUUGUCAGCUGGAGAUCAUACUUUGACUGUGUCAUUGUGUCACUAAGACGAUCAUCAACAUAUCUUGUCUCAAAAUAUGAUUUACAUCGUUGUCUUUUGAUGUUGAUCCGGAUGUAAAGUUGUUAUCUGCUUGCUGGUCUUGUUGUGUUGUUUUAUUUCUUCUGAUUUUUCUAACAGCUACCCUUGCACAUGCAUUUUUCUGUUGCUCUAUCUGAUAAUAGUUAUAGUCAACAAGCACCUUCUACUUGCUGGUUUCCAUGCAUUCUAGUUAUCUGUUUGCUAGUCUUGUUGUGUUGUUUUAUUUCUUCUGAUUUUUCUAACAGCUACCCUUGCACAUGCAUUUUUCUGUUGCUCUAUCUGAUAAUAGUUAUAGUCAACAAGCACCUUCUACUCGCUGGUUUCCAUGCAUUCAAUGGCCAGAUCGGCUACAUGGUUCUUUGAUGUUUCCCCAUCCUCACAUACAGGGCUUGACAGCUUAAUCCGGCGUGCUGAAGCAUGUAAACGCUCUUUUGUACGGUGAAAUUCAACCUGUGUUCUAUAUCCACCCUCCAGAAGAAUAAGAUACAGAAAAUGCAACAAAAAACCUCAAGUGUGGGUCUGUUUGAAAUUCGGAUAUUUUGCAUAGACCUUCUUUAUGAAUCUCCAAGGAAUCAAAUAUAAAUGGUGAGAAGGAUAUCAGGAUUGUCCUAGUAGAGAUGGAAUCCGAAUAGAAGUAAGCCGUGACUCCUUGCUUCCAUUUCUGCAUUUCACUCGUAACAGAGGCUUUGAAAACAUAUAUCCUUAGCUUAUUCAGGAAAUGAUAGCAUGAUGAGAUUCAUUGUGUAAGCACAUGUAUGUACAUUUAAACAAACAGAAGAUUAAGAAAGCGGAACAUGCAACAAAAAAAGCUUUCAAAAA